UGGGGAAUUUUGGACAAUGGGCGAAAGCCUGAUCCAGCAAUGCCGCGUGUGUGAAGAAGGCCUUCGGGUUGUAAAGCACUUUUGUCCGGAAAGAAAUCCUUGGCUCUAAUACAGUCGGGGGAUGACGGUACCGGAAGAAUAAGCACCGGCUAACUACGUGCCAGCAGCCGCGGUAAUACGUAGGGUGCAAGCGUUAAUCGGAAUUACUGGGCGUAAAGCGUGCGCAGGCGGUUUGCUAAGACCGAUGUGAAAUCCCCGGGCUCAACCUGGGAACUGCAUUGGUGACUGGCAGGCUAGAGUAUGGUAGAGGGGGGUAGAAUUCCACGUGUAGCAGUGAAAUGCGUAGAGAUGUGGAGGAAUACCGAUGGCGAAGGCAGCCCCCUGGGCCAAUACUGACGCUCAUGCACGAAAGCGUGGGGAGCAAACAGGAUUAGAUACCCUGGUAGUCUACGCCCUAAACGAUGUCAACUAGUUGUUGGGGAUUCAUUUCCUUAGUAACGUAGCUAACGCGUGAAGUUGACCGCCUGGGGAGUACGGUCGCAAGAUUAAAACUCAAAUGAAUUGACGGGGUCAUAGCUGUUU
rnacentral:rRNA from 1 species